rnacentral:rRNA from 1 species
UACGUAGGGUGCGAGCGUUGUCCGGAAUACUGGGCGUAAAGAGCUCGUAGGUGGUUUGUCGCGUUGUUCGUGAAAACUCACAGCUUAACUGUGGGCGUGCGGGCGAUACGGGCAGACUGGAGUACUGCAGGGGAGACUGGAAUUCCUGGUGUAGCGGUGGAAUGCGCAGAUAUCAGGAGGAACACCGGUGGCGAAGGCGGGUCUCUGGGCAGUAACUGACGCUGAGGAGCGAAAGCGUGGGGAGCGAACAGG